UACAGAGGUCCCGAGCGUUGUUCGGAUUCACUGGGCGUAAAGGGAGCGUAGGCGGCGUGGUAAGUCAGAUGUGAAAUCCCGGGGCUCAACCCCGGAACUGCAUCCGAUACUGCCAUGCUAGAGGAUUGGAGAGGUAGCUGGAAUUCUUGGUGUAGCAGUGAAAUGCGUAGAGAUCAAGAGGAACACUCGUGGCGAAAGCGAGCUACUGGACAAUUCCUGACGCUG
rnacentral:rRNA from 1 species